rnacentral:tRNA from 1 species
GGGGUUGUGGCUUGGCGAUAGAGCGCUUGCUUAGCAAGUAUGAGGCGCUGGGUUCGAUCCUCAGCACCACA